rnacentral:lncRNA from 1 species
UUAUUAAUUCCUUCUCUGAUUUUGCCCCUAUCUUCAUCAGACCUGCGUCUUCCAUCUUUUCCUUUGAUUCCUCUAGAUAUAGUGUUUGGCCUUGAGCUCUGUCUUAGCUCUUAGCUCAUUUUUUUGAGAAAACAGAGCAUGAAAAAGGCAUAUGUACUCAUACUUUAUUGGGGGUUAUAAUCCCAGAGCAGGAAGAAGAAGGGAAAAAAGGAAGUGAGCCAGGAAGCAGAGAAAGCAAAUACAAAGUGCUGUGUUACUUAGCUAGUCAUAGACUCAUAAGAAAACAUUGCCAGUUUCUUAGUCACCAGGUUGUCAUGGAAGAAGCUCUGUGGUAUGAUGGUGGCACAGAACAGUGGAAGGGUGGAAGGAAGGUAGGGAAGAGAAUUCAUUGGCUGUCUCCCUCCUGACUCCUGUUUCUUUCUUACUAGUUAAUGUUCACCUUACCAGGCAUUGAUUCCUCCAUACUUCAAGGUUUUAUUACUUGGCUUCUGUGGACAGCUGCUAAGGAAGUAGAACCAGUUGAGUCAGACCCUUGUGCUUGAGCUACUUUGGAUCCCACAGCAGCAGAUGUGACGCUAACCUGCUAGAACAUUGGAAAUGAGUGUGGAACUGUUCACUUCCUCCUUCUCAAAGUCAUGUGGAUAUAUCUCUGAAGGGACCAGGGCAUGGUGAAUUCAGAACAUGCCAACACAGGCAAAAUUCUCAGUUUCUAAUGUCUUCCUUCAAACUUAUUAUAAAUAUAUAUGAGAGAAGUAAAGAUAUGAAGCCCUACUGAGAGUUUAUGGUGCCUUGAUUAAAAGAGCCUUCACCAACACCAGUGAUGGUGAGUGAUUUGGGAAGAGGAGCUGGGAAAAAAAUAACUCAUAAAACAUCUCGACUUAAGAUAUACUUCCUGGCAGAUUGAUUUUUGGAAAGAAUACAUAAAGAAAUUGAGAACAUGGAAAUUGAUGCUCUUAAAACUAUCUGUGCUUACAUACCCUUAGGAAAGUCUUUGCCCCGGGGUAUGUAUUCUUCAUUUAAGACUAUUAGCGUACAGAAUAGAAAUGAGAAAAAUAAUGAAAUGAAAUGAAAGCAAAUGAAUGAGUAGAAAGGCUUAGAAGAGAAAUGAUAGUUACGGAAGACAAGCCAAGGGGUUCAAUGUAGGGUCUUCAAAGAAGGCAGCAGAAAUAAUGGACUGAACAAAUAUUUAAAGGUAAAAAAAUCUUUCCUGAAAUAAAAGAGAGGUAUGAAUCUUUAUAUGGAAAGGACACAGCCAGAAAAAAAAAUGAGCCAAUAUGGUCAACUCAGAGAUAUAUCCUCAAAAAAUUACUGAACUUCACAUCAAAGAAUCCUUUGAGAAGAGAGGAGAAAGAAAGAAAGGAAGAAAGAAAGAGAAAGAGAAAGAAAGAAAGAAAAAAGGAAGAAAAAAGAACAGAAGAAAAAGAGAGAGGGAGAGAGAGAGAAAGAAAGAAGGAAAGAAAGCAAUUGAUUUCUUAUAGGAGGUAAUAUAGGGCUUUAACCGACAAGCCUCAGAGUGACUAAAAGACAAUAGAACAUACUUUCUUGAACUAUCAUUCUAAUACUGUACUAAAGCAACCAACAAACCGUUUUGAAUAUAUGAGAACAUAGUGGAGGGAAUAUUAUUUCAUUGAGCUUUUUUGAUGAAUAAGAGCAUGCAUUUUAAUUACCUAGGAGAAGACUGGAAAACUUCAGGAAAAUAAUCUGGUGGUGAGCCCUGAGUCUAUUUAACUGCAGAACUAAAACUAAAACAAAUGUAGGGUUUUUGAUAACAGAAGAGAAUGUAAAUAUAAGCAUAGAUAAACCAAGAGAUUGUGAAAAAGCAUUAAAGUAAUAAAAGUUGGGAGGUGAAGGGAUAAACAGAUGUUACAAGUACAACAAAAUCUUUAAAAUCUGGGAGGUCAAAAGAUAAUAAAGAUGUGAAUAUCUUUUUAUAAUGAUUAAAAACACUUUUUUAUGGAAGUAAAACACAUAUAUAAAAAUACAGAAAUUCUAAGUAUACAUAUUGUUGCAUUUUCACAAAGUGAAAAUACGAAUAUACUCAUAUAUAAAGGACCCAGAUGGAGAACUAGAAC